AUCCCAGAAUUUUUCAUUUGCUCUCAUAACCCAGGGAUAUCAAACUCAGUUGCACUGGGGGCCAUAUCAGCCUCGCAGGUGCCUUCAAAGGGCUAAA